rnacentral:rRNA from 1 species
UACGUAGGGCGCGAGCGUUGUCCGGAAUUAUUGGGCGUAAAGAGCUCGUAGGCGGUUUGUCGCGUCUGCUGUGAAAACUCGGGGCUUAACCCCGGGCCUGCAGUGGGUACGGGCAGACUAGAGUGCGGUAGGGGAGACUGGAAUUCCUGGUGUAGCGGUGAAAUGCGCAGAUAUCAGGAGGAACACCGGUGGCGAAGGCGGGUCUCUGGGCCGUAACUGACGCUGAGGAGCGAAAGCGUGGGGAGCAAACAGG